UACGUAGGGGACUAGCGUUGUUCGGAAUUACUGGGCGUAAAGCGCACGUAGGCGGUUUUGUAAGUCAGGGGUGAAAUCCCGGGGCUCAACCUCGGAACUGCCUUUGAUACUGCAAAUCUCGAGUCCGGAAGAGGUGAGUGGAAUUCCUAGUGUAGAGGUGAAAUUCGUAGAUAUUAGGAAGAACACCAGUGGCGAAGGCGGCUCACUGGUCCGGUACUGACGCUGAGGUGCGAAAGCGUGGGGAGCAAACAGG
rnacentral:rRNA from 1 species